rnacentral:rRNA from 1 species
ACUCCUACGGGAGGCAGCAGUAAGGAAUAUUGGUCAAUGGGCGCAAGCCUGAACCAGCCAUGCCGCGUGCAGGAAGACUGCCAUUAUGGUUGUAAACUGCUUUUAUAUGGGAAGAAACCCCCGGACGUGUCCGGGGCUGACGGUACCAUGUGAAUAAGGAUCGGCUAACUCCGUGCCAGCAGCCGCGGUAAUACGGAGGAUCCAAGCGUUAUCCGGAUUUAUUGGGUUUAAAGGGUGCGUAGGCGGCGUGUUAAGUCAGAGGUGAAAUUCGGCAGCUCAACUGUCAAAUUGCCUUUGAUACUGGCAUGCUUGAAUGCGAUUGAGGUAGGCGGAAUGUGACAUGUAGCGGUGAAAUGCUUAGAUAUGUGACAGAACACCGAUUGCGAAGGCAGCUUACCAAGUCGUUAUUGACGCUGAGGCACGAAAGCGUGGGGAGCAAACAGGAUUAGAUACCCUGGUAGGCGUAG